CCCUCUUGUUUUUAAUUUUUCUUCUGUUGCAUAUCACUUCUACCUUUCUGUUGAAAGCUCCUUUAACAAAACUGGGUUUUUGUUACAGCUGUUGGUAAUUAUGCAGGCAACACGCGUACACAGGGGAAACUGCAUGGGCCUCACACGCUGUAAAAGUCAAGAUCUUCCAUAAAUGCAACUAUGUUCCUUUGUAGAAGAAUAACUAACUUGAGGAAAAUACAUUCAAAUGUCAAAAACCAGUUAAAGAGAUAUUUAGCAAUUCUUAGCAAGAGCUGUGCAAAGUCAAAUCCUGCCCAGCUCCGCCUCUCAAGCACCUUCUGGCACAACAGUCUUGCACCCACUGGGUAGGUAGCUGAUAAUAGUGAUGCAAUUUUCACAUCACCUCAGCUGGGCCUCACGGAGAAAGUCUGCCCGAUGGUGUGGAUACAGAAGUUUCUAACAAGCCUGUAGAUGAAAUCAUAAAAUAAAGUCUCUACCAGUUAAAAGCUGCAUGAACGCUAUUUGAAUGGUCUAACAGUACUAUUUGUUUGUACAGCAUAAACAUCAUCUGUAUAUAGCAGCUCAGCGAGCCCAAAGCUGGGUCUGGCAGUGCCAUCUACCCAGGUGACGGUGCACCUUUCUGUCCCCAGGGCCUCCUGGUCUGCAGGACACACACCUCACUGCGAGGCCCAGACGUUGCUCACACACUUGUUGCACGGCCAUGUGAGGAACUGCUUAGGUGUCAGUGCACCUGCUUUGCAACAGGCACCUCUGAAGCAGAGAGGAUUGGCUGCCCUGUGCACCUGACUGUGAGUGCCACAGCUGCCAACACCUAUGGCUGCCCCUUGAAAGGGUGGCCAGGCAAGGGAGAUGGGCUGUGUGUGUCCCCAGAAGUCACCUCUUCUGCUUCUAAAGGAAAGAUGGAGGAGAGAAUACUCUUUCCACACAGCUAGAAAGCCUCAGAGAGCUAAUCCAUCAUAAUUUUGGCUUCUUAGCUCUCGGCUGGAAAUGAGAGGAAACUGUAUAGCUGUGAAGAGCUGGGCCAAUGAUAAUAGUUAUGUUUGUUUUCCUAGAGAAAAGCUCAUAGAUGAAAGAGCCAUGGUUCCAUCCCCCAGAGAAGCAGGAACAGGUAUUUGAUAGCCAAAACUAUUGAGGAUGAAAUGCAUUCCAGCCUCUUGGUGAGCCCAGCCGCCACCUUCCUCCUCUCUGUAUCUUCCAAAGUGGCUGUAAUUCUAAGGUCAUAUAGCACUAAGCAGGCAGAGAAAAGCACAAGAGACAACCAGAAGUUGCAUAAUUCCCAAACUGAUGGGAAGGAAAUGUUUUUGAGAAUCCCACUAAAAUGAAUGCCAAAAUUGUUCUUAAGCCUUACUUAAGCUUUUAUUUAGGGUAUUGGAUAGAUGGCUGCUGUCAGUAGGAAACACUGACCAGUAUUGAGGCUACCUAAACAGAGUCCCGAGUGCUUGUGUGUAUUUUAGGCACAUAGCAGCUCCCUGGUCAAGAAUUCUUUCCUUGAACUGAAAAGUCAUGUCCUUUGGUGCAGUCUCAUAACCAAAACUGCCAUUGUAACAGAGGUCCAAGCAUCUCCUUCCCUAGGUGUAGGUGGUUUCAACUCCUGAAGUGGUUAUAAGAAGCAAUGCCCCGUAGAACACGAAGCUUAGGAGGAUGAGUAAUAUCUGAAGUGUGGAGGCAGUGAGAGAUGACCCGCAUAUUAUGUGCUUUUUAUUUAAUAGUUUAUAAAUAAAUAUCAGCUUUCCCCAAACUGUCCCUCAGCCCAGCAAUUAUAUGUUGGCUGAUUUCUUGUUAGUGCUGUUCUUUUCUAAUAACAAACUGUUCCCAAAGCCUCACAUACAGAGUUAGACAAUCAAAGCACUGUGUGUGACUUUCCAGUUAAUUCAUUCAGCUAGCUGCAAUUAAAAGAAUACAAUUCAAAGCCUUGUGUGUUUCCCUGCAAAAAUACGAACCUUUGGUCGUUACUAUUAAUAUAUACAACCUACAAGAAAGAGUUAACAGAGCCCCUUUGUCUUCCCUGCUGUAGUAAUUUUUUUAUGCUUUUCUGUAGAUGUCCCAGCAGUCAUUAAUAUUUCUUUCAGUCGCUGUUCUUCAAAAGACACAUGCUUUUCAUUCAAUUGCACAGAAAGAAAAGGAAUUCGGUGGGCCAGAUUCCCUCUGUGGCCAGAUCCAUUCACUACAGCUGCCUGGGGAGGCAUCUAGGUGAAGGGCUAUCGUCAAGAGGAAAAUCGAACUUAGAAGGGAGGAGGUCACCAUUUUUGCAGAGGUGCAGAAGGGAACAGAAGCUAUAUCCUGCCCCAUGCUACAACGUUCGGGUAUUCUAAUCGAGCAUCUGUGGCUGUCUCCCACACUAUCAAGCUCCUUAGAUACUGGACAUAUUUCCAUCAACCAAGAGACUGAGCAUAUCGUGCUCAAAAAGAGUACUCAACGGCAUGAAAAAGGGGAUUAAAAAGCAAAGAACCAAAACCAGCAUCUCUUUUCCAGAAGGGUGAAAAUAUGCCAAGCCCAGUUCUAACUACAGAAAUACUUUCCAGUAUUUUCUUUCUUUCCAGUUACUGCAGUUCUACAAAGAUGUUAUUUGGUGACAGAUGAAAAGGAAGGCAAUUUGGUGAACAAGAUACCUAUUCCAAAGAUCUCCUGAUUAAAAGAAAGGCUAAUAUCUUACUCCUCACACUCCUGACAUGACCGUAGGCUUGAAGAGUCUUGCAAUCUGUAUAUAAUUUGAAUGAAGGAAGUCCAGUUGAAAGACUACAUCUCUAAUUGUUAAUGAACGUUUCCAGCAACAGUUUCACAGCAACAAUAACAAAAAAAAAUUCUCUGCUUGGAAGAGGUUUUCUUCCAAAUGUGUUCUCUUAGCUUAAGUUGCUAUAACAGAGAUAGCACUAGGCAGAUAGCAACUGUAUGUGUUCUAUAAUAAGUAUACUUUUCAUAAGGCAUUUCAAGGCAAACAGAUUACUAACACAUUUUAAAAGUUAAACUAUGUAUAUCAAGGACCACACUAUUGCAGCAAGCUAUAUACAGUAAGGCACUGUCCAUGAAAUCAAAGAAAUAUUUCAUAUCACAUUAAUACACUGACAUUAUUGCCUGACCUAUAAAUACUGAUAAUAUUUUCAUUAUCAUCUACGUUUAACCUUCUUUAUCCUUUCAAAUGCCCUUAUGCCCAAUACGUGAAAACAUGUGAUAGAGUUCCACAUAGUAAGUCCAGAAAUCACAUCAAGGAAGUUCUUUAUUGGUUUCUUUCAAUGACUUUCAGAUUAAAUCUGCUCAUUUUAUAAAUGCAGUAAAGGUUUUUGUUAAGUGUCUAGUCUAAAAACACAUGGUUGAAGUUAGUAGGUUUUUUCAAUCCAGCAACAAAGGACCCUGCAACUAGAACAAAGUUAAUAACUGCUGAUGACAUACAUGCUAGAAGAAAAAAAAAACAAAAAAGCAAAAAACAAACAAACAAAAAAAAAACAGUGCCUCACUCCUUAGUAUCAGAAGAAGAAAAUCAUACUUUAGAACUGAAAGAAAAUUAUGGCGUACACAAAAAGAACAGGUUUGUAUAGAAAACUAUCAACCUUUCACCUACUCACCUUUCAGGCAUUUGCUUCAUCAAACUCCCAAGUAUCAGUGCAAGAAUGAGUAUAAUUACCAGAAUGCCAAGGUAAGAAACAGGCAGACUUUGUAAAUCUGUUCACAGUAGUGUUCCAGAUUGGUGCUAAAAUAAGAGUUAUGAGCUACGUUCAUUUUAAGUAAAUGUAAGAAUAUCUAUACUCAGCUCAGACCUUCUUUAGUCAUCAUCUAUUUGGGAAGAAUGGAAGGAAUUACUGCUUCCCUAGAAGAGAAUUCAUUUUUCUCAGUUACAGAAUGUGAAAGUGAACAAACUCUGGCCUUUCUCCAGUUCAAGUCAAGGAGAGUUGCAUGAGCUGUUCAGCCUCAUGACCACACUUACCUACACUGUAGGCUCCCAGAUUAAGAGCAGUUGACUGAGCCUUCAGAGCAAGAAUGGUUUCAAAAUAAAAUGCUCUACCCAACAGACGUCAGUGGCACUAACUUACCAUCUCACCUUGUAACAGAAGCAUACUUGCUUAAAGUUUGCUAGAAGAUGUGAUUUGUACCAGUCACACCAGGAGAGUAACAGAAACUUGUAGUGACCUUUCAGUCUCAUGCAGCUUGAAUCAUUUAUUAUGAGUGGAUAAGCGUUCUCCUGGCCUUCUAGAUCAGGGAAAGGAAGAAAGGCAAAAGAAACCUUGGAGUCCUCCAGAAUAUCAGCACAGAAUCAUAGAAUGGUUGGGGUUGGGUUGGAAGAGACCAAAAAGAUCAUCUAGUUCCAACCCCCUGCCACAGGCCUCCCACUAGACCAGGUUGCCCAAAUCCCCAUCCAACCUGGCUUUGAACAUUUCCAGGGAUGGGGUAUCCCUAAUUUCUCUGGGCAACCUGUUUCAGUACCUCCCCACCAACACAAUAAAGAAUUUCUUCCUUACAUCUAAUCUAAAUAUACCCGCUUUUACUUUAAAAUCUUUCUCUCCCAUCCUAUCACUGCAUGCCCUUGUAGAAAGUCUAUCUCUAUCUUUCUUAUAAGCCUUCUUUAAGAAAAGAUGCAGUAAGGUUUCCCUGGAGCCUUCUCUUCUCCAGGCUGAACAACCCCACCUCUCUCAGGCUUUCUUCAUAGGAGAGGCUUUCCAACCCCCUGAUCAUUUUUGUGGCCCUCCUCUGGACUCCCUCUAGCAGGCCCUUGUGUUUCUUGUGAUGGGGGUCUGAGAGCUGGAUGUGGUGGUACUGCAGGUGGGUUCUCAUGAGGCAUAGAGAAAGAGAAAGCAUCUCCAUCUAGGCUCCCAUUCAAGUAUUUCUGCCCUUGGUUAUUGACACUAAACAAGCUCAUGGACGCGCAGAAUAGUAACACGUUAUCAGCAGCUAAUAAAAUUAAACUAGGCUAGACGGUAUUGCUAUACUGAGCAAAAUAGAUUCCUCCCUCAAACAGCAAAGACACUAACACACAAAAUAGCGGUGACACAGACCUUCAGCUAGGAACACAGAUUGGCAGGCCUUGGCAGGAGUGUGUAAAUUCUGUGGUUUGGUCCUAGAGGCUGUGGCUUCAGCCCCAGCUCCCAAUUCCCUACCACAAACCACCAGAGACUGUUCAGAGUAAAUACAAGGCCAGCUUCUAUUCAGCAAGGUCCUGUCAUAUUCAAAUAUUAUCAUGCUAAGGGGCUUCUAGCUUAAAUAUCCUUCCAUAGGCAUGGCAACUGAACACAAGCAAUAGGUAGGAAUGAACUGGCUGGAGCAUGAGCUGGCUGAGACCCAUUCAGCUUGACAGCCAGGGAAAAUGUCUCAGCUGCCUCUCAUCUUCGCAUGAAGCCUGUCUUAUUGGACAGCUAUUUGCGAACACAGCUCAGCUGCUUUCUCUGAAUCAGACAGAGAGGUGUGCAGAUGAUGAUAUUGCCCAGAUUCCAGGAGCACCCUGGGGACCGACACCACGCUCCGUUGGUACUUCCCAUGAACUUAGCUGAAGGUCUGCAUACCAGGAAGGACUGUCUGCUUGCAGUGGUACUAGCAGAGUGGCAGGUGCUUUUGAACCACGCCAUGCUCUGUGGUGGGAUUUCCAACAUCCAAACGUCAUUAACUCAGCCUCUUCUUUCUGAACACUGGGAAUAAGGCAAACCCGCAUGGGCACGAGCGGUCAAAGCUGCCCAGCAUGUUGACACCGGAGCUAGGCUGAUGAAAGUCACACGUGGGGCAGCCCCUGCUUUGCAUUUUGGUGCAGAUGUACACAGAGAAAGGAGCGGAGGCAGAGCUGAGACGGUGGGAAACUUGGCGAGAAGGAGGGCGUCUGUUACUUGAAAUCACUCUACAGCACAUUACAAAUCUGUUAAAUCACUGCGGGUUACCCUGUAUUUCAGAGUAAAUUGGUAACUUUUCAGAGGGAGUGAAGAAACUACCACUCCACUUUUAAAUAAUGAAAAUGCUAAAAAACCUACACUUAACAGCUCUAAAACUGCAGCAAGUCACCCACCAACACCCACUCCUCUUGUCAGCAGGCUUUUUUCAGCUUUGCCUAUUAUUUGCGUGAAGCCAGAGAUGUUUAAUGUUUGCUGCCCUUAUCUGCUCAACUUUAAGGAGCCUCAAACGUCACAAUAUGUACCUGGGCCGCUGACCUGUUUCCCCACAGCACUUUGAUCUAAAUAAGUAACAAACACAGAGUUUCCAAAUCAUUUGGAUUCACUGGCUCUGAGCGCAUAGCUGUAAAAAAUCUGCUUUAAGAUUAACAUCCAAUUUUAUUCAUGCCUGAGGCUUCACCACAGCAUCUAUUUUUGUAAGAUUAACAGCAAGAUCCCAGUUCUCCAGAAAUGUAAAGAGUAACAGCCAGUUGUAAAAGAAAUCUGAUAUUUCCUAAUUUGUCCUGCUCGCAUCCAGGAAGGCAUAUUUUCCCAGACCUUCCAAUGAUGGUUGUAAUUUCUACUUGCAUAUUUGCACCCACGACACGCAGCGUGUGUAUUAAUCCUUCUGCCUCCCAUUUGCUGAAAUGCAUUUCUGAUGAAACUGUGAGUGCCAAAAAACCACUAGCGCAAAUCUCACAUGUGCAAAGUAUCCCCUGAAAGACAGCUUUUACUCUGGAGGAGUUAAGAAACAGUCAUCUUCCUGUACCUUGCACAGAAGCAUUUUGGAUCAUCUAACUUGAAAAUGCAAGUACAUAAAAGGAGCACUUAAUAUUCCAGCUAAUCCAUUUUAAAUUAAUAUACUUGCAAACAUUUCUUUUUAACAUGGGAAUCUGAGGACAAAUUGGGGGCCAUUUUUAACUUUAACAGCAGAAGAAAAGUUGCUUUAAAUAGUGCCUUUGGUAUCUGUCAAUUAGAGCUAUUGCACUGCUGUCAACUUGCGCUCCUUUAGUUCCAGCUUUGCUCCAUCCUACACAGAUCCGUACAAAUCAGUUGUCUCUUCCAAACAUGCACUAACCACUGGAAAGUGAAAUUAAUAAAGUGUGAGAAAAGCUGACUCAUAAAGCUGACACUCCUGUGCCCAACAACUCUGGGUUUCUCCCCUCCAGCUAGCUGUUUGAGAUAGACAGGCAAAGUGGUAAAAGAUUAUCAAAUUGCAACUGUCACUCCUGACAAAAUGCAUCUGAAUGCUGGAAGGAAUUUUAGGUUUUAAGCUAAAGCACCAUCCCAAAGAGUUCCUCAGAGCCUGUCAAUAUCUGUACCUUGGAUGGAAAGCUACCACUGAGCACAGUGCGUCCAACAUAUAGAACCUGCCACGAAAUGAAGUUCUUCGUAAGAAAGCUCAUCUCAGUCUUGGUUGGUAACAAUAACAAGGAGACAAGAUGAGACCAUCAGUCUCAAUUGUGAAGACAAUGUUUUCCUCCCAUAUUAUUCUAUCUGUCAUGUUCCCCUCAGGUUCCAAAGGAAUCCCUGUCUCAUACAUCAUUAUUUCCCACAAAGCUUGAAAGCCUUCAGGGGGGGUUUCUUCCUGCCCACUGUACCAGCCUUGAUGUCUGAGUACCUUCAGAACAGUGACAGAGGCUUCUACCAGCAAUAAAGGGGAACAUCUGCAUACCAAUUAAACUGCUGAGCUCUGAAGAGUUAAAAAAAAAAAAAAGAGGAGAAAAAAGCCUUGAAAGUAAAUCUGAGCCAAGUUCUAAUUAAUGCCCUAGGCCCCGAUUCACCACAGCACUUAGGCAUGUAGUUAACUUUAAGCACGUAUUAAGUUCCAUUGAAGUCAAAAGACAGCAUCGAAGAGGCAAACUACAUUAGCACAAUUUAAUACUCUUUGGGCUAAUUAAUCAGCCAUAAAAAUUAACUGUGAGAGUGGUAUUCCUUAUUUUCCUUGCUGUGAUACUUACAGAUAAAAAUGCUUGGAUGUGGUUGGAAUAAGCAAAAAGCAAUACCUUGUUUAGCUGUCUUGGGCUGCUAAGUCCUACGGCUGUAAAGACCAGUCCCAGAGAGCAGCUAAAGGAGCUGAGCUCUCUGCACAUUACAGUCUCGCAGUCUAACGUACAUACCAUCUACUUGGCAGAGGCACACAGGCACUAAAGACACAGCUCUUGUCUUGAGGAGCAGUAAUCUAAGAAAUGAAAAGAAUUGGCAACAGAUCAGCAAACCCAUCAGGCAACGGAUGGCACAUCAGAGACAGUUUUAUUUUUCUCUAUAAAGAAGUGUUUAUUCACUGCUGUGCAUCAAUGUUAUUUGUGAUGAGAGGUGGCAAGGAAGGGAAGCAAGCAGGGUUGGGUAAACCAGGGGAGCAGAAAGCACAUGCAAGUUUGGUGACUACUGGUGAGGUUACCAAGAGAGGCAGUGUCAGGCAGAGCUGUGGAGAGGGCAGCAGUGCUGGUAUCUAACAGGAAGGUAGACUGGAGUCUGGUCCAGACCUAAAUGUGAGCAAAGGCUUAACCCUCUUCAAUUUCAGCAGGUCGGAGCCCCGCAAAAAGGGAGCCCACAGCACCAUCUCCAAAGAGCUGAAUAGUUCCAGGUACAACCAACAAACCAACCGAUUUUUGAGCUCCUGCUGACUUCACAAAGGCAUGUGUACAACAAACCAUUCUGUAAACUGGGAUGCGAGGAGAAAAAGUAGUUGAUAAUCUUCUUGCUGGAAUUUCUGCAAAAACGAAAGCAAGGAAAGUUUCCUCAAGUAUCACCAAGGCUGCACAUGGACCUAUGAAAGCUAGGAAAGUGAGAGCAGGGGACAUCAACUCCUGACUGACAAUACUUCUUUAUCUCAUGCAUUAUGGAAACAAAAAGAAUAAAAACAAACCCCCAAAAUUAGAAUGCCACGAGCAUAAAACAAAGUACCAGCGUGACUUUGCAGAUUAAUUUUGAAUUUCCUUGCUUUCAUUGGUUUAAGAGCCCUAUUGUUACUCUCUUGUUUCUUUAAUUGCAGACACUAAAAAUUCUUUUAUCUUUCAAAGUCCUUAAAGUCUGUUAUAUAAAUACGUAAUUAAAGCCUCUUUCAACUGGGUAUAAUUUACUCUACAGUUUACAACAGCUGCACUAGAGCUAUUACAGUUUAUCAUUUAAAAGCCUAAUUAAGGGCUUCUUAAUUAGUGGAUCCUUCAGUCACUAGACUGUGACUAUGUAAAAGAUGCUUGGCAGCUAUCGCAUGUUACAAAUCUGCAUGAAAUGUUUGCCUGAAAACAGGGGAUGUGCAAGUCCAGAAACACAUUAACUGUCCCAGUAGGUCAGUGCAUCUCAAUGUGCAAACCUCCACAUUAAAGCUACAUUCUCAUCUCCAAGCGCACAGCUCAUUUGCAGACAUGCUUUUCCCUCGUGCACAUAUUGUGGAGAACCACUUCAGUGUCCAGUGCAGGGGUCAGGCUGGGAGACCGCCCAGAGCGGCUCAGUGCCUCCCACUGCACGUCGCACACCUUCCCACGAUUUGCUCUGCCACCCAGCUAUAACACCCAGGCCAAGCUGAAAGCUGAGUCUGUUCCCUGGGCUCCUCAUACAACCUCCUGAAUGCAGGACAGUCGAGCCUGGAAAGGACUACUCUCCAUCUGUUCCUGUGCCCUUUCCCACAGCAUCCCUAGAGCAGCUGCCAGCCUAGCUGGGCUGAGCUGCUAUGCCAGUCCUCUCAGAUGUGGUGAAUCUCAUGUUCAAACACACCCAAGAAGAUGGGGCUGUGCCCACUGGCUGCUCACGCUGGUUCUCACAUGGCUUGUCAAGCGCUUUCUUCAGUGAAUUCCAUUUCUUGCUGUUGCCAUGCUCUCCUCAGCAGCUGUGCCGCUGUGCCGCAUUCAGUGGGAAGCUCCUCCGCCGUGCCCAGAGUACUCACAUCGCUAGGAGGAGGAAGGAAGAUCCAUUUACUGCCUCUCACUUAUAACCACCAACACACAUUUCUCAUUAAUCACCACUAAAUUAGCAGUCCGUCACUGAGAUUUUAAGUGCAAUCUCUGCCCAGGGAUGGUACUGGAACUCCAUCAUCCUUCAC
ensembl:lncRNA